GAUGAACGCUGGCGGCGUGCCUAAUACAUGCAAGUCGAGCGAACAGACGAGGAGCUUGCUCCUCUGACGUUAGCGGCGGACGGGUGAGUAAAACGUGGAUAACCUACCUAUAAGACUGGGAUAACUUCGGGAAACCGGAGCUAAUACCGGAUAAUAUAUUGAACCGCAUGGUUCAAUAGUGAAAGACGGUUUUGCUGUCACUUAUCGAUGGAUCCGCGCCGCAUUAGCUAGUUGGUAAGGUAACGGCUUACCAAGGCAACGAUGCGUAGCCGACCUGAGAGGGUGAUCGGCCACACUGGAACUGAGACACGGUCCAGACUCCUACGGGAGGCAGCAGUAGGGAAUCUUCCGCAAUGGGCGAAAGCCUGACGGAGCAACGCCGCGUGAGUGAUGAAGGUCUUCGGAUCGUAAAACUCUGUUAUUAGGGAAGAACAAAUGUGUAAGUAACUAUGCACGUCUUGACGGUACCUAAUCAGAAAGCCACGGCUAACUACGUG
rnacentral:rRNA from 1 species